rnacentral:antisense_RNA from 1 species
AUGCUCCCCAGCUGCGCCGGCUGCGGAUGCGGGAAGGCAGGUGGCGACUGACGGAGCUGGGUGAAGGAUUCUCUCUUUGAUUUUAUAAGCUGACAUGAUUUCUUGUUCUGUUGUGAAUGCACGCUGCUCUAGGCCUCAGUUAACCCAUCACACAUGUGCUCCACGCUGUCCACGGGUGCUUUUUCUGCAGUGUUAACGUCAUCUUCAUGGUUGGUAUCAUCAUGAACACCUUGAUUCAGAACCAUUCUGGCUAUUUCCCCAUCAGUCAAUGAAAGGAACAACUGGAGCCUCAUUAUCAAUGUUAAAAACGACAUUAUUGUCUACUUCUUCCAGCUGACUGAUGAACUCUGAAGGUAUAUUUUUUCCAUAGGUAAGGAGGUCAGACAUCCUUUUCUUCUCACUUGACAAGCUGAAUUCUUCUAAAUCACCACCUUGUUCAUCAUCAUCACUGAACACAGUCGUAGGCCAGAGGUCACGCCAGGCACGCACAGCUGUGUCUUUAGUCACUGUGUUGCAAGCAUUGGCAACAGCAUAUAUGGCAUCCUUCAUG